AUACAGAGGGUGCGAGCGUUAAUCGGAAUUACUGGGCGUAAAGCGCGCGUAGGCGGCUUAUUAAGUCAGAUGUGAAAUCCCCGGGCUCAACCUGGGAACUGCAUCUGAUACUGGUAAGCUAGAGUUUUGGAGAGGGAAGUAGAAUUUCAGGUGUAGCGGUGGAAUGCAUAGAGAUCUGAAGGAAUACCAGUGGCGAAGGCGACUUCCUGGCCAAAAACUGACGCUGAGGUGCGAAAGCGUGGGUAGCAAACGGGAUUAGAUACCCCAGUAGUCC
rnacentral:rRNA from 1 species